AUCUAGAAAUCCUAUUAUACAUGAAAUCAAAUAAAUCAAAUCAAAUCAAAUGAAAUCAAAUCUAUCUAUCCUUCUAUCCUUCACCCUUUCAGCAUUUGUGAGGCUUCAGUUUGUGGUAGUAGUAUUGACGUUUGAGAGAUUCUCUGAUGGCAGUGGUGGUGGUGGUGGUAUUCUUAAUGAUCAAUCUUAUCAUGAUGAUUCUUAGAGGGUUCUUUGAUGAUUCUCAUAGAGGAUUCUUUGGUGGUUCUUGCAGAGAGUUUUUUGAUAGUUGAUUCUUCAGAGAAUUCUUCAGUAGAUGGAGGAGUAGUAACAGUGGCAGCUGAGUGGCUUGUAUAGUCAGUUUCAUCUCAUUCUUCUCUUAUUUGAUAUUCUCUUGAUCUCUUCUUGACAGAGAAUCAGAGUUUUCAACUGAUUUUUGUAAGGAUUUUCCCAUUCUUCUGUUCAAAUAUUCAUUCAUUCUCUUCAGAUGUAACGGGCGUACUACCGAUUAACAGACUAAGCACUAUCCUAAUUACAGAUUACAAAUUGAUUAAGAAAGGAAAGAGAAAAGAGAUUAGAAGAAAGGGUCGUACGAAGAGGUUCUUAUAGAAGGGGAAUCGGAACGGAAGAAUAUUAGAGGUCGCGCCAAGGUGGG
rnacentral:sRNA from 1 species